GACGAACGCUGGCGGCGUGCUUAACACAUGCAAGUCGAACGGAAAGGCCCUGCUUUUGUGGGGUGCUCGAGUGGCGAACGGGUGAGUAACACGUGAGUAACCUGCCCUUGACUUUGGGAUAACUUCAGGAAACUGGGGCUAAUACCGGAUAGGAGCUCCUGCUGCAUGGUGGGGGUUGGAAAGUUUCGGCGGUUGGGGAUGGACUCGCGGCUUAUCAGCUUGUUGGUGGGGUAGUGGCUUACCAAGGCUUUGACGGGUAGCCGGCCUGAGAGGGUGACCGGCCACAUUGGGACUGAGAUACGGCCCAGCCUCGUACGGGAGGCAGAAGUGGGGAAUAUUGCACAAUGGGCGGAAGCCUGAUGCAGCAACGCCGCGUGCGGGAUGACGGCCUUCGGGUUGUAAACCGCUUUCGCCUGUGACGAAGCGUGAGUGACGGUAAUGGGUAAAGAAGCACCGGCUAACUACGUG
rnacentral:rRNA from 1 species